GGAGGACCCCGAUGCGGAGGCAGCUGACGAGCCCUUUACUGACGUAAGCUGAGUGCGGGUAUCGACAGGAUAGAUACGUGUAGUCGCACGUAACGAUGAUGCCCGCUGUCUGCGAUAUAUGUAUGCGCAAGCGAAAGCGUUAAGCAUCCCACUGGGAGUACGCGGCACGGUGAAACUCAAAAGGAAGUGGACGGGGGGCCCGCACAAGCCGCAGCACCAUGUCGCUUUAAUUCGAUGAUACGCAGAAGAAACGGUACCCGGGCUUGAACUGCAGGAGAACGAUCCAGAGAUGGUGAGGCCCUUCGGGGCUCCUGUGGAGGUGCUGCAUGGUUGUCGUCAGCUCGUGCCGUGAGGUGUCGGCUUAAGUGCCAUAACGAGCGCAACCCCUGCCUACAGUUGCCCAUCAGGUCAUGCUGGGCACUCUGUGGGGACUGAAAACAAGCAAAGUGCGAGGAAGGUGGGGAUGACGUCACAUCAGCACGGCCCUUACGUCCGGGGCUACACACGUGUUACAAUGGGUGGUACAGAGAGCAGGUCGUCUGCAAAUGCGAUCAAAUCCUUAAAGCCAUCCUCAGUUCGGAUUGGGGUCUGCAACCCGACCCCAUGAAGCUGGAUUCGCUAGUAAUCGGCGGCGAUCAGCCAUGGCGCGGUGAAUACGUUCCCGGGCCUUGUACACACCGCCCUAAUCUGA
rnacentral:rRNA from 1 species